rnacentral:rRNA from 1 species
CCCGGGCCUUGUACACACCGCCCGUCACACCACGAGAGUUUGUAACACCCGAAGUCGGUGAGGUAACCUUUUAGGAGCCAGCCGCCGAAGGUGGAACAGAUGAUUGGGGUGAAGUCGUAACAAGGUAGCCGUAUCGGAAGGUGCGGCUGGAUCACCUCCUUUCUA